rnacentral:rRNA from 1 species
CCUACGGGAGGCAGCAGUGGGGGAUAUUGCACAAUGGGGGAAACCCUGAUGCAGCGACGCCGCGUGUGUGAAGAAGUAACUCGUUAUGUAAAGCUCUAUCAGCAGGGAAGAAAAUGACGGUAACUUAGUAAGAAGCCCCCGCUAACUACGUGCCAGCCAGCGCGGUAAUACGUUGGGGGCCAGCGGUAUCCGGAUUUACGGGGGGGUAAGGGAGCGUUGAGGGCGGCGGAAGGCUGGAGUGAAAGUCGGGGGCACAACCCCGGGGCUGCACUGGAAACUGUACGUCUGGAGUGCAGGAGAGGGAGGAGGAAUUCCUAGUGUAGCGGUGAAAGGCGUAGAUAUUAGGAGGAACACCAGUGGCGAAGGCGGCUUACUGGGCUUUUACUGACGCUGAGGCUCGAAAGGGUGGGGAGCAAACAGGAUUAGAUACCCCAGUAGUC